rnacentral:lncRNA from 1 species
GAUAUAUUUCUCAAUUAGCCCCUAUAAGACUCUAUGAUGUAGAUACAAUUCUUGGCUUCAUUCUGCACAUGAAUGGGCUGAGGCUAAUCGAAUUAGGGUAGAGCUGAAUGUUCCAAAGCCACGCCCCUAAUUACAAUGGGAUUCUAGAUUCUGACUGGCUCUGGGUGCCCUGCAGAGCUCAGAAUAGACAUUUGGUGCCACGAGUCUCUUCCUGUCCUAUAAGAAGUAGAGGAGAGAAGAAAAGGAAGUCAGUGUAUGGAGCUAGUGACACGGAUGAACUGUUUCUUGUAGUGUCUGGACUUACAGGAAACGGAGGGAAUCCAGAUUGCAUGCUGUUCAAUAGUGACUUUCUGUUGUACAGGAGAGGAGGGCGGUAGAAGGUAACCAGAUUCAGUGCUGAGGUGUGGGCCCUCUGUCUCAUCCCUGCCAACUUCCUCUUCUUGAACCUUGAAUUUCUACCAACAUUUUUAGCUUCUACUCUGUACCAGGUAGGAGGCUGUGGGCUGGCCCGGCAGUGAACCCAGAGCUGUGGCUGCUCUCAUACUCUUGGGCCUUUUGGUCUGGGGAUAUCUUUAGUUUCCAAAUCCUUCAAAUCCCAAGCCGUUUUCUUUCCUCAAAUGAGAGAAAAGGAAUAGGCAGCAGGCUGGUUUAUUGGAUGUUUUCCUUCAUUUCUGACUCUGACAGCCAUCCUUCACAUCUGAUAGGAAGUCUUCACAAUGGUGAUGAAUUUAUUCAUUUUGACUGUUUGUGAAGCUCUCUAAUUAAUUCUUUAUAGAUUUCCAUCAGCGACUAAAUUUGUGUUUUGAGUUAAAAUUGGGCAUUCAGAGGAACUGCCUUGGGAUACUCUGCUCUCUCGGAGCCCCUCCUCCACACUGGCAGCUGCUGACCUACUGUUCACUAAGCAACUGAGCAGCAGUUUGCCUCAUAGUGACGCACCAGCAGGUGGUUACCAUGGAAUGAGACAGCAGCAAAGCACUGUCCCUGUCGUCAUGGAGCCCCUGAGCCAUCUCCUAAGCAACCUGGCAGGAGAUCCCCAAACAAAUCUAUGCACUCUGCUCCACUGAGGUUAGUUUUAAAUUUAUUUUUGUGGGUUGCUUGACAUCAACAGCUUUGUGUAGCUAAACAAAUUUAGGGAAGGAGCUACAGAGUAGCUCUGUCCAGAGAGACACGAGAAAAAAAAAAAAAAAAAAGAAAGGAAAGAAAGGAAAGAAAGGAAAGCAGAGGGAGGAUGAAGGGGAGGGCAGCGGAUGACACAGCAUAUAAGAAAUGAGUCUAAGAAACAUACAGAGAGAUGGAAAGAAUGUGUGGAAAGGGGGAGAACAGAUACACACACACAUACACACAUGGAAAAAAACAGAGGCAAAGAAACACAGAGAA